rnacentral:rRNA from 1 species
AAGGUUUCCGUAGGUGAACCUGCGGAAGGAUCAUUACCGAGUGAGGGCCCUCUGGGUCCAACCUCCCACCCGUGUUUAUCGUACCUUGUUGCUUCGGCGGGCCCGCCGUAAGGCCGCCGGGGGGCAUCUGCCCUCUGGCCCGCGCCCGCCGAAGACACCAUUGAACGCUGUCUGAAGAUUGCAGUCUGAGCAAUUAGUUAAAUAACUUAAAACUUUCAACAACGGAUCUCUUGGUUCCGGCAUCGAUGAAGAACGCAGCGAAAUGCGAUACGUAAUGUGAAUUGCAGAAUUCAGUGAAUCAUCGAGUCUUUGAACGCACAUUGCGCCCCCUGGUAUUCCGGGGGGCAUGCCUGUCCGAGCGUCAUUGCUGCCCUCAAGCACGGCUUGUGUGUUGGGCUCCGUCCUCCUCCCGGGGGACGGGCCCGAAAGGCAGCGGCGGCACCGCGUCCGGUCCUCGAGCGUAUGGGGCUUCGUCACCCGCUCUGUAGGCCCGGCCGGCGCUUGCCGACACAUCAAUCUUUUUUCCAGGUUGACCUCGGAUCAGGUAGGGAUACCCGCUG